AUGUUCCACUUAAGCAGACCUCUUCUAUAGCUGUAGCUGGAGCUGUAAUUGGAGCUGUCCUUGCCCUUUUCAUCAUUGCCAUCUUUGUGACUGUGCUGUUGACUCCUCGAAAAAAGAGACCAUCCUACCUUGACAAAGUGAUCGACCUUCCACCCACACAUAAACCACCUCCUAUGUAUGAAGGACAGUCCCCCCCUUUGCCUCAGAAAGACCUUCUAUAUCAGACUGAACACUUGCCUCUGCAGACUCAGUUCAAAGGAAGAGAGGUUGGCAGUCUCCAGCGCUCUAAUGGACUGAAUAGCAGAAGAUUUGACUACGAAGGUGAGAAUCCAGUGGGGGAAGAUGGGAUUCAGCAGAUGUACCCCCUCUACAGUCAGAUGUGCUACCAAGACGGGAGUCCUGGCAAGUGUCAUCCAAGCCGUGACCUGGAGAGAGUCUACAUCAACCCACGGGAGCAUUACGUGUGA
rnacentral:lncRNA from 1 species